ensembl:antisense Gm16541 predicted gene 16541
GGAACCUGAGCAGCACUGACUUCUGAGGAAGACUGAGAUGGAGACACCCGCCAGUGUCCUGUCGCUCCCGCAGUCUGAACUUCCCAACAGUCCAUGUCCUUUGGUUUAAAAAGUCUUUGUAAAGGGAGAUGACCCAGACAGUGAAGUACUACUUGGCAUAACAACACGAGGAUCUGAGUUCAAACUGAAGCACCGUGAGAAUGAAGAAAAAAGCUCUGUCUUGUGGCCUGCAACCUCAGGGACAGGGAAGCAGACAGAAGGAGCCCAGCCAGUCUAGCAAAACAACAAGCUCAAGGUUCAAGCCUACAAACAGAAGUGAAGCAGUGGUGGGGCAGCAUCAAUAAAGGUAGCAGAGGAAAGAAAGAAAAAGGAACCAUCGGCUACUAAAAGUGUCACAUUAAAUGUCACAGGGACUGUGUU